rnacentral:rRNA from 2 species
UACGUAGGGUGCGAGCGUUAAUCGGAAUUACUGGGCGUAAAGUGUGCGCAGGCGGCUUGGCAAGUCGAGUGUGAAAUCCCCGGGCUUAACUUGGGAAUUGCGCUCGAAACUACCUGGCUAGAGUGUGGCAGAGGAAGGUGGAAUUCCACGUGUAGCGGUGAAAUGCGUAGAGAUGUGGAGGAACACCGAUGGCGAAGGCAGCCUUCUGGGCCAACACUGACGCUCAUGCACGAAAGCGUGGGGAGCAAACAGG